rnacentral:rRNA from 1 species
AGGAAUAUUGGUCAAUGGCCGGAAGGCUGAACCAGCCAUGCCGCGUGAAGGUCAGUGCCCUAUGGGCGUUAAACUUCUUUUGUGCGGGAGCAAUAAGGUCCACGUGUGGGCCGACGAGAGUACCGUACGAAUAAGCAUCGGCUAACUCCGUGCCAGCAGCCGCGGUAAUACGGGGGAUGCAAGCGUUAUCCGGAUUUAUUGGGUUUAAAGGGUGCGUAGGCGGGAUGCCAAGUCAGCGGUCAAAUACGGGGGCUCAACCUGCGUCCGCCGUUGAAACUGGCGUUCUUGAGUGGGCGAGAAGUACGCGGAAUGCGUGGUGUAGCGGUGAAAUGCAUAGAUAUCACGCAGAACCCCGAUUGCGAAGGCAGCGUACCGGCGCCCUACUGACGCUGAAGCACGAAAGCGUGGGUAUCGAACAG